GGUAAGUCUCUUAAUGCUUUUUAAAAAUCUACCAAAAGUUAGCUUUUUGGGGGGCAGGUUUUUAAGUAACCUUUGCCAACUUGGGCUAUUUGGAAGAGUAAAAGACCACACUCCACAGUGGGCUAUACCACUUAGUAUAGUUCGCUACUAUUUUGUGGCCUACAUGACAGGUGUCAAGUUUUUUUGAAUCAAUUUUUAAAA
rnacentral:snoRNA from 1 species